rnacentral:rRNA from 1 species
GACGAACCGUGCGAACGUUGUUCGGAUUCACUGGGCUUAAAGGGCGCGUAGGCGGGCGGUCAAGUCAGGGGUGAAAUCUUUCGGCCCAACCGGAAAAGUGCCUCUGAUACUGGCCGCCUCGAGGGAGGUAGGGGCAUGUGGAACUUCCGGUGGAGCGGUGAAAUGCGUAGAUAUCGGAAGGAACGCCGGUGGCGAAAGCGACGUGCUGGACCUCUUCUGACGCUGAGGCGCGAAAGCCAGGGGAGCAAACGGG